UUUUGUAUGGAAAUGUAUAAAUCCUCCUCAUUUGUGGCCGAAACUGUGUAGUUGGCAGGUUUUUAAGCUAGUUUUGUGUGACGUUCUCUCUAUAGCAUAAGUUAGCACCGAGCUAUCUGCACGAUGAUGUGUGCUUUAACGAAGAGCUGCAUUUACUCUCAGGAAGGACAAGAUUACCUUUGGAAGGAGGUGAGUACGCAGACGGUUCAGGUGUGCUCCUGCUGUCCGGCGGUGAGAGUCUCUGCCUGGGGACCAGCCUGCCGUCCGAGCCGCUUCCACCCGGGUUGGCGGGACUGGAGCAACGGGACGUCGUCGGUCCUGAGUUGCUCCCGGCUGCUGAGAAGGAGGAGGAAACGGAGCGGGUUGGGCUGUGCUGGUUUCCACGCAGAAGCUGGUACGGCACCGUGGCGCGGAUAGGAUGUAACCGGACCGCGGUGGUGUUGCUGCUGCAGGCGGGGCAUGAGGCUGCUGGAGGGGAGCCGCUGUGUUGGACCCGCUGCGGGGAAGAGCUGGCUUCUGUUGUUGAUGCUGACAUAACGCCCAGACUCUAGGAACCAUGAAUGCUGAAACAUGAAUCAUCUGCACCACGAUAGCCGGUCAGCAUUGAGAUCCUCUACUGACUGCAAGAAGGAGCGCUACAGCAGGUCUUCAUCGCAUCUGAAAUGAGACUGUUUCACACCAGUACUAAAUUCUAAUAAAUUCCUAAGUAGCUGUGCAGAUACUCUAAACA